UACGGAGGGUGCAAGCGUUGUCCGGAAUUAUUGGGCGUAAAGGGCGCGUAGGCGGCCAUCUAAGUCAGACGUGAAAUCCCCCGGCUUAACCUGGGAACUGCGUCUGAUACUGGAAGGCUUGAGUAUGGGAGAGGGAUGUAGAAUUCCAGGUGUAGCGGUGAAAUGCGUAGAUAUCUGGAGGAAUACCGGUGGCGAAGGCGGCAUCCUGGACCAUUACUGACGCUGAGGCGCGAAAGCUAGGGGAGCAAACGGG
rnacentral:rRNA from 1 species